UACGAAGGGGGCUAGCGUUGCUCGGAAUCACUGGGCGUAAAGGGUGCGUAGGCGGCUCUUUAAGUCAGGGGUGAAAUCCUGGAGCUCAACUCCAGAACUGCCUUUGAUACUGAAGAUCUUGAGUGCGGGAGAGGUGAGUGGAACUGCGAGUGUAGAGGUGAAAUUCGUAGAUAUUCGCAAGAACACCAGUGGCGAAGGCGGCUCACUGGCCCGAUACUGACGCUGAGGCACGAAAGCGUGGGGAGCAAACAGG
rnacentral:rRNA from 1 species